AGCCUGGGAAGAAAUCGCCUGCCUCAUCAACUCAAGGGGUCGAUCUGGACUCAGAACUCUGAGUGAAAUAAAGAAAAAGUAUCAAAAUAUCAAACAGAAAGCCAAGGCAAAGAGAAGCUCAUAUAUGAGACCCCCAACAGGUGGUGGUACAAGAGCCAAUUCCCCAUCUGUACCCGAGCAACCAGUGCUGGAUAAUUUGGAGGGGAGACCAAGUUUGUGUGGGGUGGAUGGCGGGAUUGACACAGAAAGUAAAUUGAUUUAUACAAGUUGUAAAAAUAUACAGAUAAAUAUGUAAAAGGUUUGAAAUGUAACAUCAUGAAAAGUAAAUACCAAUGGUUGAAGUUAUUGAAAAACAGAAAAAAAAUAACUUUCCACAUAAAGUUUACUUUGGUUGGCAAUUAGUGAUUAUGUAAUUCCAAUAUAACACAACAUCUUGAUGCUUGAUCUGGAGAAUACCUGUUGUAUUUGUUAAUUUCUUUCCAGAUGAAGAU